ensembl:lncRNA
AUGGCAGAAUCACAGGGCAGUGGACAGGAGCUUCCAUGGGAGAUAACUGAUAUGGUUGUUGGCCCAAAAGAAAAGCGGAUAUCUCAAACCGAAGCCUGUCACACCCAAAAGAAAAUCAAUGAAGCAAAGGGUGAGAUAUCACAACUUAAAAUCAAGUUGGAGGAACAAAGUGAAUUGAUUGUUAGGAGCCAGAUGGAAACGGAUGAUCUGCAAUCAGAAAUAUCUUCACUCAGUGAGAAUGAAGGCAUUUUCAAAGAACAUAUAAAAGAAGCAGAGAGGAAACUUAUGAUUGAUUAUCUUCAACUACAGAACGAUGAGCUUGAAAAGCUCUCUAGAAUUAAUGCUGCCCUUAAGCAGAGUGAAGAGGAGGCUCGCCAAAGAAAUAAUGAGGAUUCAGCCCGAAUUAAAGACUUGACCGAGACACUAGACAGAACGACCAAAAAACAUUCAGAUUUUUUUCUGGAAUGCAAGGAAAGAGAGGACGCUUUGAUCAAUGAAAAUAAGGUUCUUGGUGAUAAACUGGCCUGCGUGACAUCUGAGAAAGAUCUAAAUCAGGCAAAGAUUUCUAAUCUGGAGGGAGAUGUUGAAGCGUUAGUUAACGAAAAGAUAACUAUAGAGUACCACAGGCUGAUGGCUGAGUUUGACCACCUCAAAGUUACUGAACUUCUUUCUACAACAAUUAAUGACUUAACGAGUGAAGUUGAAACAUCUUACAGAACAAUUUCGGAGAAAGAUGAGCAAAUCCAACUACUUAUACAGACCAAUGUCCAAUUUCUGUCAGUGACACAACAGUUCAGACUAGAGGCGGACAAUUUAAGAGAGGAAUUCAGAAUUCAUUUUGAAAACACAGACUCAUCUGAGAAUCACAGUGACGAGAGCCUCCCAGUGACGGAUCACACAGAGGAGACACCUGAGGAUCAAACUGACAUGACACCUAUGGAUGAGACCAUGGAGACACCGGCUGAGGCGAGGAGUUGGUGGUCUGGACUUGCUAAAGGUCUGGUGAAAGUAGGAUGUAUUGUUGGCAUCGGCAUCGCGUUAAUACAGCUUUCUAGGAAAAUUAAUUAG